CUCCACAUUGAAAGAGAGGAAAAAAAAGAAAAGAAUAACGUCAAUAUCAGAUCAUUCAAGGGGCUGCCUGCUGGCCGCGCCUGAGACUGUGUGUGAGUGGUGGGAGAAAGAGAAAGAGGGGGAUUCAAGCAACCCAAGGCAUGCAUGCAUCAUGCGGCAUUGUUCUUGCAGGGAGCCGAUGUUAAUGAGCCCUAAAAAUGAGCAAUUGGCGCGCAAAUGCAACGCGCAAGAACUCGAGGAAUCGUCGUCGUCGUCGCGUCGUCAGGGAGAGAGUAAUUGAGUUGAGGGGCCGACACCCGUGCUACGUGGCCAGAAUCCAGAGGACUUGACGACUGGGACGAGGCCACGUGGUGCGUGUGGCACAGACUGGCGCCACUUUAUAGCCAAGGAGAAGCUUCCCGGGUGGUAAAUCUCUCUUGUGCUUUACCCCUGUGCCGCGUGUCGGCGAGGCAAAUCUAUCUUCCCUCAAAUCAAACCAGGCAGCAAAAGAGACACUACUAUCUCUCGCCUCACACACAGUCCUCUCGGGUCAACUAACUAAUUCCUGGAUCAAGACAACAAGACACACAAAAUCAGCGGAUGAUCAUCCCAGGGGAGAAUGGAAAAUGCAUCGCCCAGGUAAAAUCAAUCAAUCAAUCAGCCAGCCAGCCGGGUGAGACCAACGUACCGAAUUUCCAGCGGGCUUGAACGAGACCAAUGUCGGCGUUGUGCACCAGGUAGGGGAUGGUCCGCCACAAGAAAUCGGGCUCGGGCUGGAAAUCCGCGUCGAAGAUGGCC
rnacentral:lncRNA from 1 species